AGGCCAGCCAAUUUAACUGCUUACCUGAAUGUGUUUCUGCAGAAAUUUUUAAAAGCUGGCAAUAGUAAAGCCUUAUUACAAACUUUAAGGACACUGAAGUCAUUAAAGACCCUGAAAAUGGCUAUAACA
ensembl:snoRNA